UGUAGCAGAGAGAGCAGCUCUGUUUUUAUCCGAUUUCCACGAACCACAGAAAUCAAAAGCCAGUGAACUUGUAGAGUUUGUUUAUUCACCCAUUAACUAUUUUAUGGAUAUGCUGUUGGAGAGAAGCUUUGAGGACUUAAGAAUUUGGCAUUCUUACCCUCCCAGCAAAGAUAGUAAGGUAGAGGACAUCUAUUUUCAAGAAUGAUUAU